UUGGAGAUUGGCCUAUAAUUAGCUAAGACAGCUGGGUCUAGAGAUGGCUUUUUAAGAAAAGGUUUAACUAACUCAAGUACUUCUGAUUUGAGGCCUUAAUUUUCACAGGAACUACACUAUCCAGAGUCAUACGUAGUGAGGAGGUAAAAUUAUUAACAAGAUGAUAUCUUGUUAAUAAUCAAUAUCAAUAUCAAAGGCAGAGGUCAUGUCCAACAUCAGCAAAACAUUACAUGCUGCAUCAUAUCUCAUCAACAUGUCACCGGAGACUCUAAGAAGUGCAGUUUCAGUAGAUUGAGCUCCACGAAAGCCAGAUUGGAAUUUACCCAGAAUGCUGUAUUCAUUUAGAACAGAACAUAAGUAUAUAAAUAUAGUGUUGGGAUUUAAAUAUAUAUUCUUAGUGUUUAUUUGCUGCUUAUAUUGUUUUAUGUAUUAGAGGGCCAACUUUGAGUGUAAACUAGGUCGCAGGCUGACAGGAAACUGCAUGCUUUUGCAGAGUAUAGGAGGUACAGACAGAAAGUGAAACUAAGCAGAGUGUUUUGAUCGAAACUUAGUGUGGGUGUGACGUGCAGUGGAAAUAUAUAUGUGUGUGUGUGUGUGUGUGUUCAGGUCUCCAUUCACGGGAAUGUGAAAUAAAGAUCUUUUUUUUUUUAACUUUGACCACCCUGGGUCCAGUCUUUCUUUGCCGCCAAAAGAAUUAAAAGAACUGAAUUUAAUAAUUAGUGUCUCGACCCAGAUUCUUUUGCGGCUGAGAGGACAGAUUGGCUUAAGGUGGGAUCUGAUAGGAGAACAGGAGACCGGUCUAAAACGAUUUAAAGGCCUGCAAGAUUGAAUUAACUGCGCUGUAAAAAUUUUCGGGAGAACAAAUAUAAGGUGAGUUUUUCCAGAUUAUAAUGGGCAGAGGAGAAGCCUAACUGUGGGAACCGAUGAGUGUUUGAGUUCCCGUCCAAAAGGAUUGCAGCAAGUCAAUCCAGUUAAAACAUAAUAAAGAACUCUUUUUCUAAAAACAAAACAAAAUAAAACAAAUGAAUGAGC